rnacentral:rRNA from 1 species
AAGCUAUGAUGGAGACGCGGCGCACAGCUCAGUAACACGUGGCUAANNNGCCCUUUGGACAGGGAUAACCCCGGGAAACUGGGGCUAAUACUUGAUAGGUGAGAACUUCUGGAAUGGAUUCUCGCUGAAAGGGCGUCUAGAUCAUGCUUUUAGGCGUCGCCCAAGGAGGGGGCCACGGCCGAUCAGGUUGUUGGUGAGGUAACGGCUCACCAAGCCUUUAACCGGUACGGGCCGUGAGAGCGGUAGCCCGGAGAUGGGUACUGAGACAAGGGCCCAGGCCCUACGGGGCGCAGCAGUCGCGAAAACUCACCAAUUCACGAAAGUGUGAGUGGGCCAUCCCGAGUGCCGUCCGCUGAGGAUGGCUUUUCCUUAGUGUACAAAGCUGGGGGAAUAAGGAGAGGGCAAGUCUGGUGUCAGCCGCCGCGGUAAUACCAGCUCUCCGAGUGGUGGGGAUGUUUAUUGGGCCUAAAGCAUUCGUAGCCUGCUGGGCAAGUCCUCCGUUAAAUCCAACGAUUCAAUCGUUGGGCCGCGGGGGAUACUGUUCGGCUAGGGGGCGGAAGAGGUCGACGGUAUUCUCGGGGUAGGGGUGAAAUCCUAUAAUCCCGGGAGGACCACCAGUGGCGAAGGCUGUCGGCUAGAACGCGCCCGACGGUGAGGGAUGAAAGCUGGGGGAGCGAACCGGAUUAGAUACCCGGGUAGUCCCAGCUGUAAACGAUGCAGGCUAGGUGUUGGCGCGGCUACGUGCCGCUCCAGUGCCGCAGGGAAGCCGUUAAGCCUGCCGCCUGGGAAGUACGGCCGCAAGGCUGAAACUUAA